GCACACUCUGCCCUCCUCUUCUACUCUCUGCGUGUAAGAACAGAGAGUAAGCAAAACUCAUUACACAUUUCAUUCGUGAUUUAGGGUGAUUUAGAGUUGGAUUUUGAAUAUGCUGAAGUUGAAGAAAAGAUAGACGAAGGUAUUAUUUCAUCAAUUUUUUGAGUCAUUUAGUGCUUCAGGAGUAGGAUUUGUGUAGCAAAGUGAACUACGAAGUUGAAGAUCAAGGUAAAAUAAUUCAUCUUAGUAGCAAACAAGGAGGAGAAGACGUGAUUGAAGAAAUUGUGUUUUCAUUUUCGCUGUCCCAUUUUGAGGUUGACGAGGUUCAUAUAGUACUGGCGACGGAUAUUUAUUGGAACUAUUUUGACGCUUAAUUGCAUUCGCAAGCACAUCCAUAUUGGAGCUAAGGUACUAUGGAAAAUUUAGUAGUGUACUAUGGGGACGUCUUACGCGACGGUCCAUGCGGGGUGGAUGUGUCCUUCUGCGAGUCGACUACAGUAGUGGUGAGAGACAUGGUCAACGUGGGUUACGCAGCUGUUAGAAGGUGCAUCCGAGCGGUGUUUGGCCCAGUGAUGCAGGAAAAAAAAUGACAAUGGAGGCCUUCGUCGUUGACGGAGGAAAUGAUGGGACAGUUGCCCGUUGGGGUUUGCAGCCUGUCACAGGUGAUCGGUCGUGGGUGUCGUACAUGAGGUUUGCAAGCAAUCCCAAUAACUCAAUGUAUGGUCAACCGAUGGUGUAUGUGGAGUUCAUUUCAGUCACUGAUGUUGCUGGAUGCAGUAGCAGGGGUGGUGAGGUCGAGUUGGCCAUCACAUCAGCCCCUAGCAUCGGCCCAUCGGAACCGACGGGCGGCCAGCCUGUGUAUGACACAGGAUAUUGGUCGGCGGCCGUUGACAUGAGCGAACACGUGGAGGGAUUGCCGGAGGCGCUAGAUGAUGAUGAUCAUUCUUCUGCGUCUUCGGAGUCAAGCGGAGAAGAAGAUGUUCCUCCUCAGAGGGCGGUCGCGACGGCACUGCAACCUGGGUUUUUACAGGAUAUGAGCAUCACCACCAAAUUUCACUCUGCUUCUGGCCUAGGAUUCGAUGCCCGAGCAGUUUCUUUCCCCUAACCCAUAUGCGUACACAGGAUAUGAUGCAUACACCCAAGGUGAGGGAUCUCAGCCGUAUCUCUCCACGCGAGGGAUCCCCAUGCCCGAGGAGACUCGUGUACCAGAUUUAAACCAGCACCACGUACAAUGGCCAGACAGUAUAGGAGAGGGAUAUGCUCAGGACACACCUGAUGUUAAUUGGGGCGAUGAGAACACCCAACGCGGCGUCAACACAGGCCUCCGGGGAGCAUCACAUGAUCAUGGCGUCAACACAGGCCUCCGGGGAGCAUCACAUGAUCUUGGCGACACGGUUACAUCAUUAGUUACAGAGUUCUUCGGAGGGGACGUUAUUGGCCCAUCUUUUAUCCCCCCGGAGUCACAACCAUACGCCUACAAUUACGCUUCAGGUUCGCAACAAGGAUUCGCGACUCCACCACCUACGCAGGACUCGCAGACACAUGAAGCCGAAUUGGAGUACGACCGCGGUUUUCGUGUGCCCCGGCCACCUAAUCGCUUGUCGCCUUCCGGUCGUAAGGAAAGGCCAGGUGGUCGUCGUAAAGUAGGGUGAUUCAUCUAUGCACGUGCGCGAUCCAUUGUAUCUACAUAUGUGUGUAUCAGACUUUUCAAUUUGAACAUCUAUGUAUGCUGAAAUAAAAAUGCACCAGUCAGGAACAA